CAUUGGCUGGAGAGAAAGUAUUGGGCUCGUUCAACAGUGAGAUGACGCUCAGCAAGAUGGUCCUGCAAUAAAUGGAGAAUAAUGCGACAUUUUAAACUUGCACUUCAGAGUCCCAUAAAGAUGACCAGUUUUGUACGACACCUUUCUCAAGUCAAAACUCUGCUCUUAAUACUUCACACUACUACUUGCCACAUGUGCAGUGAUAGUAAAUAAUGUUGCACAGAUACAAUGUAAAGCAAGUUAUGAGAGGCAAAUUCAAUUACUUUCACUUUUUUCCCACGCUACUUUCAUAAAAUAGAGUCGACCAAUUUUUCGGAUGCCUUCGCAGCACCGACAUGCUUUAUCUACAAAAUUGCUCUUGUACUGAAUUGCUGCCCUUUGUGCCUUCACUGUAAUGCCACAGCCAAGGCCAUGACAUGCCCC
rnacentral:lncRNA from 1 species